rnacentral:sRNA from 1 species
UUCGGAAUCAACAUCUGGAUGAAUGGAACACGAUAUUCAGAUAGCAUGCAAGUAUAAGUAGAUGCUAUGUUGCUAUGUAAUUUCAAGUAACAACUUACAACUUCUCUGGCUGUUACUAAAGAACAAUCACCAUGAUUUUUCAAAUUGUUCUUCCUCUCUUCUUGAUGGGAUGUGUGUCUUCACUUCCGGU